rnacentral:sRNA from 1 species
AUGCCCAUGGUGAACUAUUAAAAAGCAAACAGUUGGGGAGAUACUGUUGUACGUGAAUACUGACAUCAAAUAGGAUAAUCAUACUUACCCAAACUGCUUUCCCCUCCGCGGCAGAUAGUGCAUUCAUGAUUAGGUGAACCAGGGGUGUCACCCAGAGUGAUACUUUGUACAGGGAACAUUGCAGGACACUGCAGGGUGAGAGUGUGACAAGGAGGUGAGAUAAUGGAAGUCAGGCACAGAAUUGGGUGACAGGAGAGUUGAGUGGUCAGGCUGGGAUGGGUGUGGUGCUCAUGGUGUAGGUGAGAACUGAGCCUCAAGGAAACGAGCAGGCCGUGACAGGGAGAACUGCUGGGGCACAGGGGCCAGUAAGGGGACAGAGGAGCAUGCCUGCUGGGUCAGCUCAGUUGAUCUCUCUGGGAAGGUGGCUAUCCUUUUGCCUCUUCUCUCCCUAACACCCACUUCCUUCUCUAGCACCACAAAAAGUACCAGCACAUCCACCAGAAGUCUUUCUCCUGCCCAGAGCCAGCCUGUGGGAAGUCCUUCAACUUUAAGAAACACCUGAAGGAGCACAUGAAGCUGCACAGUGACACCCGGGACUACAUCUGUGAGUUCUGCGCCCGGUCUUUCCGCACUAGCAGCAACCUUGUCAUCCACAGACGUAUCCACACUGGAGAAAAACCCCUGCAGUGUGAGAUAUGCGGGUUUACCUGCCGCCAGAAGGCUUCCCUGAACUGGCACCAGCGCAAGCAUGCAGAGACGGUGGCUGCCUUGCGCUUCCCCUGUGAAUUCUGCGGCAAGCGCUUUGAGAAGCCAGACAGUGUUGCAG